GAUGAACGCUGGCGGCGUGCCUAAUACAUGCAAGUCGAGCGAACGGACGAGAAGCUUGCUUCUCUGAUGUUAGCGGCGGACGGGUGAGUAACACGUGGAUAACCUACCUAUAAGACUGGGAUAACUUCGGGAAACCGGAGCUAAUACCGGAUAAUAUUUUGAACCGCAUGGUUCAAAAGUGAAAGACGGUCUUGCUGUCACUUAUAGAUGGAUCCGCGCUGCAUUAGCUAGUUGGUAAGGUAACGGCUUACGAAGGCAACGAUGCAUAGCCGACGUGAGAGGGUGAUCGGCCACACUGGAACUGAGACACGGUCCAGACUCCUACGGGAGGCAGCAGUAGGGAAUCUUCGGCAAUGGGCGAAAGCAUGACGGAGCAACGCCGCGUGUGUGAUGAAGGUCUUCGGAUCGUAAAACUCUGUUAUUAGGGAAGAACAUAUGUGGAAGUAACUGUGCACAUCUUGACGGUACCUAAUCAGAAAGCCACGGCUAACUACGUG
rnacentral:rRNA from 1 species